rfam:Lodderomyces elongisporus NRRL YB-4239 supercont1.3 genomic scaffold, whole genome shotgun sequence.
GCGGCUUUAGCUCACCUGGGAGAGCGUCAGACUGAAGAUCUGGAGGUACUGUGUUCGAGCCACAGAAGCCGCA